UAGAAAUUCACUAUGACAUUAACUACAAAAACAUUUACUUAAGUUUCCUUGGUCACUCAAACUCCAUCACAAGAGAAGAGGAUAUUGAAAAAUAAAAUAAAAGAGAGCACCAAAUAAAAGCAGCUACCACACAAGUCUCCUUAAUUUUUCUUGAUUACUCAAAUUCUAUUACGAGAAAAGAAUAUGUUAAAAAAAUAGAAACCUAUUUACCAAAAAAAAUAGAAACCCAAAUACAUGAUAGGUAAACAAAAAUAAUAAUAUUAAUAAUAAAUCUUUCGUCCGGUCUUGUUGUUGCUUGCCGAGUGAACUCCGUGUCCUCCGCCCCAUGAUUCUUUCAUCAGAACCUGCGUCCACGGUGAUCUGCUCCUCGGCACCUUCCGUCCCACCUGUUCUCGGCGAUCACCUCCCGCGUUCGUUAUCCACCUCCUCUCAUGGUCUCCUGUCUCCUCUAUCCGUCCUCUCCCCUCUCUUUUCUUCCUCUCCUCCGCCCCACGGAGGACUUCGAUCCCGUGGAAGGAGCCCGGUGGGAGACCCUGAGCGAGGCUCUGCCCAAGAAAUUGUGAGAUCUUUAGGUGCGGGUGGUAUGGGACGAGCCUACGACCAUGGCGAUGGACACCUCGGUCGGACCCCCUCCGGCGGGCUCCGGCCGUGUCGGUGCCCGGAUUUUGACGGCAUUAGGGUUGUUCUAGCUUCUGGAUUUCGGGUCGAGCUCGGAGUGGGGUUCGGGGAUUUGGGUUCUCGGGAUCUGCUUCCAAGCCCUACCUUGCUUUUAUAGGCAAUUUCUUGGACGAUGAAUUUAAUUCCGAAGGUUCGGGACAGUCGCGCGUUCCUGCUGAUAAACAUGCUCUUGUGCAUGCAUUGAAUGGUGAAGUUUCGAGAUGGCCACGCGUUCUUUGCAUCCCCCGAGAUAUCCCAUGCUCCAGCUGUCAGAAAGCGAGUCAUUUUCGAACAUCUGGUACCGGGUAGAUCUCUCUAAAAUUUGGAUAUAUAUCAGUUUAAUGUGGCAGAAUCUCUUGGAUUUCCUUUGGAUAUGUUUUCUGGAUUCUAGAUAUAGUAUGUAUAUUGUAGAAAGGAUAUGGUGAUUUUUAAGGUUAUCUUUGUGAUUUUUUAACAUGGUAUGUGCUGGUAGCGGUAGAUGAAAUGGCUUGUGGUUCUUAGUCAAGCUAUUUAGUAGUGUUUUUUAAUGAUUUUAUUACCAAGUGACCGAUCAACCCAUGGAAAGGUUAUCAAUCACUUUUGUAUGCUCAUUUGCUUGCAAGUAUAUCAACUAUUUUAUUAUUACUCUAUAUGUACCAUUAUGAGUAGUAAAACGAUUUAUGAGAGCUUUAGUUUUCCUAAAAUAAUCAUGUGCCUCUUAUUGUCAUAGCAAUUGUUAUAAUAACUGGAUAGAUCAUAUUAGGCUUCCAUGUAUUGCCAUUAUUUGAAGAAAUAAGCGAAACAUUGUUUGGGAAAGAGGAUUGCUUUUGGGUCCAUGGUUCAUUAACUUCGAGGGAGUAAGCCUCACUUCCAUGGUAGAAGAAUUAUAGAAGAGAGUUAAUUAGAUGAUUUCAUUGAAAACUUCAAGUAAUGGUGUUCUCUAACUAUUUUAUUGUUUAAGUGCUUGAUCAAUCCAAACAAAAGUUUCAGGUAGUUCCAUAUACUCAUUUGCUUGCAAGAAUAUGAACUGUUAUUGUUAUUAUGGUAAUGUGUGGCACCAUGACAAGUACAAUGAUUUAUAGGAGUUUACCCUUUUUCUAAACUAAUCUUGUGCCUCAUAAGUUGAAGUAAUUGUUGAAAUAACUGCACAGGACUUAUCAGGCCUCCUAUACAUUUCCGUUGUCUAAGAUAAUAAGCAAAAUAUAAUUUGGGAAAGGUUUAUUAUAUCAUUAAGUACUUUCAGUUCCAUAUAUCAAAAAUGAAUGGCACCAUCCUUUCAGUUCCACCUAUCUCUAUCAUUGUCACUGUUUCCUAUUUUUUGGUGGUAGAAUCGUACUCGCAUAUCUUCUCUCCGUGAUGGUUGCUUUAAUAAAGAUCCAUUCUUCAAGAUGUAUUUGAUGUUUAUUAUAAGAAACAGAAAUCCCCGUGAUCAUGACCCUGAGAAUUAACUAUCAGCAUCACAUGAGUGCAAUCCAACUACUUCAACUUUGCAACUUCAUUACUUUCUUCACGUGCAUUUAGUUUCGACCUACCAUCAUGUAGCAGUUGAUAAUGUUAGCAAAACUAUGAAGAAGACCUAUUUGUCAUUUUGGAAGCUAUGCUAUGAUAUGCUGAAGUACAAUACAUUACACCAUAUUAUUAAGUACAAUAUGUUUUAGAACAUGAACUUCACAUUCCUUAGCUGGGACCAUAAAAGAUUGAGCUUUCUGAAUAUCAAUGCCACAGACUGUCUUCCUUGGCAUGUGUUCAGCCUGUGACGUGUUUUCUUUCCUCCUACAUGAUGUCAUCCUGCAUAGUUUGAGAACUCACAUUCCCUUCCCUGGUGUCUUCAAUAUAGGCCUUGCUUUCGUAAUUGCCAUAUUUUAAUAUUUUUUAACAUCUAACGAUUAUCCCGAGCUUUAAUUCUUUGAGUAGUCAUCUUGUAUUUGCCUGCUCAAAUAGUUCCAUGUCUCUGUUGUAUCUGAAUCCCAUCAAUUUUCGCAUCAACCAACAAUGUUGUGGAGAAACCACCUGUGAGACUAAAUACGGGAUGCACUGCUAAAGCUUCUUCAGCAGUAAUCUACUGUUGGAGUCCAAAAUAUAAAUACAUCUAUCCUACUAGAAGCCUUUAACCAUCAAAGAAUGCUUGGUGACAACAUAGAAUAUUUGUUUGGAUAUCUAUAAGUAGUGCUUAUGAAUUUUAAAGUAGUUUUGGUGGCCCCAACUUUUUUUAUCUUCUGGUACUUAAGGAGCAAUCUGUUUGGAUUUUUCUAUAGUCAUAAGUGCCAACAGCAUUUGAGCUUUUUGAGAUAGCGUGAUGUGCUUGCAUGGUGUGCAGAUAUUUCAUUAUUUGGUCAAUCCCUCUCAAGAUUCAUUGCAAAGUUUGCUUAAGGGUUAUCAUAGAGUAUCAGAGAGAUUUUGGAUGGAGGACUUCUGUUCAUCAGUCCAACAUCUAGUCAAGCUCCAUGAAGAGUAGCUGCAGAUGGACCCAGUUGUUGGAGUAGAUAAGAGAGGUUGCUUUGAUUGCAACAAGAUCGGUUGCUGUUUGAUGUUUAAGAUUGGAAACACUGUUUCUUCCUGGUGGUCCUGGUCUACUACUUGUGAGUGGCAACCUUGGCAACCAUAGAGAAGACCAGAGAUCAGUGAUCAAAGUGAUCAGCUGGCUCUUUGCUACUCCCAGUUCCAUGCAUGGCAGUCUCAUGGAUCAUUCCAUCUUUUCAUGCCUUGGUGGCUUUGAGGCCAUCAUGAUUGUGGUUUGAUGUCCCCUAUACAAGCCUUAUUUAGCUUGGACGUCACGUGGUUCAUGUUAGUUAUUUGGGUUUGAACGACAGGAAUAGGACGAAUUUGUGAUUUCCAGAAAUGGAAUUGGUCACCCAUUUCUCUUGUUCCGAUUCCCUUGUUAUCACGACAGAGAUGCAUUAUAUGUUUAUCUUUAUGGAUGCCGUCGAGCUUAUUAUUA